GACAGAAGGUGCAAGCGUUACUCGGAAUUACUGGGCGUAAAGCGUCCGCAGCCUUUUAGGUCAGUCUGGUGUAAAAUUGCAGAGCUCAACUCUGCACUCGUACCGGAAACUGCCUAGAUUGAGUUAUAGAGAGGCAUCUGGAAUGCCAUGUGUAGGGGUAAAAUCCGUUGAUCCAUGGUAGAACGCCAAAAGCGAAGGCAGGAUGCUGGCUAUAUACUGACGGUCAGGGACGAAAGCGUGGGGAGCAAAGGGG
rnacentral:rRNA from 1 species